rnacentral:lncRNA from 1 species
CUGCCCUCCCUGGCUCUUGGGAGUGGGGAAGGCCAGGGCCAGAUUCUGCAGCGCUUCCCAGAGAAGGACUGGGAGGACAACCCAUUCCCCCAGGGCAUCGAGCUGUUUUGCCAGCCCAGCGGGUGGCAGCUGUGUCCCGAGAGGAAUCCACCGACCUUCUUUGUUGCUGUCCUCACCGACAUCAACUCCGAGCGCCACUACUGCGCCUGCUUGACCUUCUGGGAGCCAGCGGAGCCUUCACAGGAAACGACGCGCGUGGAGGAUGCCACAGAGAGGGAGGAAGAGGGGGAUGAGGGAGGCCAGACCCACCUGUCUCCCACAGCACCUGCCCCAUCUGCCCAGCUGUUUGCACCGAAGACGCUGGUACUGGUGUCGCGACUCGACCACACGGAGGUGUUCAGGAACAGCCUUGGCCUCAUCUAUGCCAUCCACGUGGAGGGCCUGAAUGUGUGCCUGGAGAACGUGAUUGGGAACCUGCUGACGUGCACUGUGCCCCUGGCUGGGGGCUCGCAGAGGACGAUCUCUUUGGGGGCUGGUGACCGGCAGGUCAUCCAGACUCCACUGGCCGACUCGCUGCCCGUCAGCCGCUGCAGCGUGGCCCUGCUCUUCCGCCAGCUAGGCAUCACCAACGUGCUGUCUUUGUUCUGUGCCGCCCUCACGGAGCACAAGGUUCUCUUCCUGUCCCGGAGCUACCAGCGGCUCGCCGAUGCCUGUAGGGGCCUCCUGGCACUGCUGUUUCCUCUCAGAUACAGCUUCACCUAUGUGCCCAUCCUGCCGGCUCAGCUGCUGGAGGUCCUCAGCACACCCACGCCCUU